GUUUGGAUUUAGUUUAGGUUCAAAAGAGCACGCACAGAUCCUGAGUGUUGUCAAGCACCCGUGACUGGGAAACGGAGGCGUCCGAUCCGUAUUGGAGUCAAUUCGCCACUUAAUUGAACACAGCCUCGAAGGGAAGGGCCAUAUUUGUGGGCCUGUCUAACAAUUAAGAGUGACCACAUGGAAUGGGGGAUGAAAGGGUUAAAGAAGAACAAAUAUUGAACACAGCUUUUCUAUGAACAAACUGCAGGCAGCUGCUGCUUUGCAAGAAAAACCCUUUGAAAAGAUUCAGCACGUUGCCAUGGAGAACAUCCCACUGAAGGAAUGUAUAGAAGUAGCAGGUGUCAGCUGCCUACCAGUUGCUUUCAUCUCUAGAAAUCUGUGACUUGCAGUAUGACAAGAACAAAAGGUGACAAUACAAAGGACAAAGGGCAAGGAAUACAGACGGAGAAGCCGCUUAGAGUCUAGGAUGGCAGAGGUUCUCUUGAUCAUUUCAUUUUUGAGCGCUUGUAGAGCUUUGGUGUACCAGAGGUGCUUGAACAGCUUACCACACCACAGAUGAAUGGCCUUUGGAUUUCUCCUAAGAAAAUGGGUUGAACCGAACUGGCGAUGCACUGUCUGGAUUGGAUGCAUGUCUUCGUCAUUCUGGAUCCACAUCCUUCAAAUGUUGCCCACCGUGUGAUAGAGAGAAACACACCAAGGAAUUUCUGGUGGUAUUCCACUUCCAAGGAUCCUCGAGGUUUCUGCUGGAUGGAGCCACUGCUGCUGACUUUGGUGUUUGCUAUUGGACUGGACUGCUGAUAUCCUGACAACAAAGAUUGGAACUACCCCUAAAAACUACUUCUAAGACUGAAAGGUAUGAAGAUCUGUGGCAAGAGGCAUGUCAGAGAAUAAGCCGAAGAAUUCUGUUAUUUUAUAGCAUUAGAUCUUCUUUCCUGUCAAAUCUGUCACUUGUGCCCUGACUCUGGCUGGGAUGAAGAGAACAAGAUGGAAAUAAAGAUAUGGAAUGCAGUGUACACUAUGUGUUUCUGCACUAACUUCCUGAAUGACUUCCUGGAUUGUGUUGCUGGAGAUGGCUCUCUGUGGACUCCUGUAUCAAUGUUUCCCUGGCAUGGGGGCAGAGCAGUCUCAGUGGUAUGUUUCUAGCUGCUGUCCCAGCCUAAAGGAUUUAAUUAUGCGUGAAGAGUU
rnacentral:lncRNA from 1 species